GGACCCGUGGCCCAAUUGGCAAGGCGUUUGACUACGAUUUUCGAAAAAUGGAAUUCAGUUCCAUCAAAAGAUUGUGGGUUCGAAUCCCACCGGGUUCA
rfam:Emmonsia pasteuriana TAMH 9510 supercont1.12, whole genome shotgun sequence.